UGGGGAAUAUUGCGCAAUGGGCGAAAGCCUGACGCAGCGACGCCGCGUGCGGGAUGACGGCCUUCGGGUUGUAAACCGCUGUCGGGGGGGACGAAGCUCUGACGGUACCCCCAAAGGAAGCACCGGCUAACUCUGUGCCAGCAGCCGCGGUAAUACAGAGGGUGCGAGCGUUGUCCGGAAUUACUGGGCGUAAAGGGCGCGUAGGCGGCCCGAUAAGUAGGGGGUGAAAUUCCGCGGCUCAACCGCGGGACGGCCUUCUAGACUGUCGGGCUUGAGCACGGUAGAGGCAGAUGGAAUUCCCGGUGUAGCGGUGGAAUGCGUAGAGAUCGGGAAGAACACCAGUGGCGAAGGCGGUCUGCUGGGCCGUUGCUGACGCUGAGGCGCGACAGCGUGGGGAGCAAACAGG
rnacentral:rRNA from 1 species